AGGGUGUGUGUGUAGUCUGUCUUUCUGUCCUUGGCUCGGAUGCAGACGGUGGCCGUUCUUGCACGGUCAGCGAAAAGCACGGCUAGCAGCUGAGAUGACCGGCUGAUCCCGGCCAGCGGCUCCUCACAUCUCCGAAAACGGAGCAAAUGUACGAACAGGCGUUAUUUGGAUAACUUGACCCCAUAUUGUUAAUCUAAAUGGUUACUUUCUCGCCUGAAAAAAUAUUAAAACUUAAUGAAGUGACAUAUUAACAGUCCUACAGCGAAAAUUACAAAAGCUUUUAGCCUGGCUCAUCUCCUCCAUUGCACAGUCUAAAGAGACGCAAUGCAUUGUGGGGCAGUUGAGUAUGUCCAGUAAGCUCACGCCGCAUACUCAGAAAUUCUUGCUAAUGUAGUAUACAUCCGGGUAUUUCUUGCGUACACAAAAUCCACAUACUAUGCAGUUGGAACGCACUACAUACUCAAUUUGACGUCAUACUUAGUAUGAAUAGUACGUUAGUAUGCGAUUUCGAACACAGCCUAUAAUUUACCCAUAUUCUCUAAAAGCCUCACAUGCAGUCUAUCAGUAAACACUAUAAUUUACCCAUGUUCCCUAAACACCUCGUAUGCAGGCUAUUGGUAGAUGUUACAAUUUGGUAAUUGUUACUAAUUUACCAAACGCCUCACAUGCGUACAAUUUUGAGUUGAGCUGGAGUUGAUCAGAUGAACUGUAGUGUCUGUUCAAAAGGUUCCUGAGACAUCCUGCACUAUGUCGUGAACAUACAUAACUCUCUAAACUUUUUCAAUAAAUUCUCUAUGGUAGUUCUUAUUGCUAUGGGUGUAGUCCCAUCUCCGACCACAAUGUGGGUUGCAAUGGCAGACUGGCGCUGUCAGUAUUUAAGUUUGUUGACCCCAUGGGUAGAAGAAGAAGCAAAUCAACGUUAUUUAUGAGGUGUUUGUUAUAUGUUUCUCGAGAACCACUCAUCCAGACAACUUCACACAUCAACAUUGCACUUCCUCUUUUACCCAGCAAUCCACCUGCUAGGUAUGAAGUCGAUCGGAUGAACGGUUCUCGAGAUACGUGAUAGACAAACCCACAUACAUACAUACAGACAGAGAUUCCACAAUGGAAUAACAAAUGGUUAUUGUCACUUUGUCACUGAUAUUUGCCACAGUCAGAGGCCACAGCUAUCUGUUCUACUGCACUUUUGCUUGACCUCUAGGAAGUUGUAGGCUCCAGUAAACAGGCAAGAGACAAACUGCUGCAUUGACUUAAGUAAUCAAUCGUAAUUAUCACAUAUAUUGUGUUUUUUGCCUUUGAUAACUAAGUUCCAGGACCCUCUGCUGCUGGUGCCCAACAUGGCCUUCUUCAUUCUCCUGAUGUGGCAGCUGCCCUCAGCCAGGAGAAAGAUAUGCAUCACCUUGAGCUCUGUUUUCAUCAACUUUUACCUGCUGGUAGGGCUCUUACCACAGACAUCUAAAACAAUGAACUUGACAAUGAACUUUAACAUGACAGUGCAAAAAAUAUGGAACCAGUUGCUGUGGUUAUGCAACUGUAACCCGGGUCACAAAGGGUUAACAACACAGAAGUGCUUCAGCCAAUCAGAGUGCAGGUCCACAGCACCGCAGGCAAGCUACACAACGUACGCUAGUCAGACGCUGGGUGACACUGUUGAGAGAGGACCUGCUGCUGAACGCUCGUAGAGGUGUGUGUGUGAGAGGCUGCUCACUGAAACCUGCCGAGUGACACAGAGGAACUCCCGAAUUGAUGUCAACAUGGCCCCAGCUAAACCAGCUCAACGGUCAAAAAAAUACAGAGACAAAAUCAAGGAAGAUCCUGAGAAAUAUCAGCAAUAUCUUGAAAGAGAAAAAGAGAGAUACAAAAAAAGAAAAGAGACAGGAAAAUUGAAAGCCAUAUCACAAUUAUCAAAGCGGGAACAAAGAUGCAGGAGACGUCAGUGGAAAGUUAACCAAAGAAACAAAAGGGCCAGUGAUAAGAACAGAGAGAAGAUACAAAGUUAUAUAACUGAAAACA